UACGUAGGGUGCAAGCGUUAAUCGGAAUUACUGGGCGUAAAGCGUGCGCAGGCGGCUCUGCAAGACAGAUGUGAAAUCCCCGGGCUUAACCUGGGAACUGCAUUUGUGACUGCAAGGCUAGAGUACGGUAGAGGGGGAUGGAAUUCCGCGUGUAGCAGUGAAAUGCGUAGAUAUGCGGAGGAACACCGAUGGCGAAGGCAAUCCCCUGGACCUGUACUGACGCUCAUGCACGAAAGCGUGGGGAGCAA
rnacentral:rRNA from 1 species